rnacentral:rRNA from 1 species
UACGGGGGGGGUAAGCGUUGUUCGGAAUUACUGGGCGUAAAGGGCUCGUAGGCGGCCAACUAAGUCGGACGUGAAAUCCCUCAGCUUAACUGGGGAACUGCGUCCGAUACUGGAUGGCUUGGAUUUGGGAGAGGGAUGCGGAAUUCCAGGUGUAGCGGUGAAAUGCGUAGAGCUCGGGAAGAACAUCGGUGGCGAAAGCGCUCUGCUGGACUGCAACUGACACUCAGGGACGAAAGCUAGGGGAGCGAAUGGG